AUUCAAACAGGCAGGUAAAUCAGAAUUGUAUUUUUUGCCAUGUAAGUUCUCACAUACAAGGAAUAUGAUCUGGUGUUGGUGCAUAAACAUUAGUAAAA